AACCCUAAUCAAAUAACACAUAACACUACUUAUUUCUCUCUUCUCACAAAUCAUUGUUGUCCGUUCUUUCUUGCCACUAAAGCAGACAUAUAUUCCUCCUACAAGUCAUAAUCACGAGUGUGGGUUGUUGAAGUUUUUUUUUUCUGAUAAAGACAAACAGACGAAGAGAACAGAAGAGGAGGGAAACGCAGGGAUCUAUGCAACUUCCGCGGUUUGGCAUAAGCGAAAUACACAAGAAAUUUUUGAGGGACCCACGCUGCAGAACUUCUUCACUCAACCGAGAAGAAAGGCGAAGAAAAUUGUCUUGUUCAUGGCACAUUCAAUGUUUCCCCUUCUUACCUCAACAUCUUGCUUUGUUGGGUGGGUCGCUACCGUCACUUUCACCUUCCUUGAGAUGCUCGUUCCCCCGCUUGCUCAUCUUCUUCUUCGACCAAGUCUGAUCUAUUCCGAUCUAGCACAGUAAAAGCUUUUUUAGGUCGCAUAUAUGGAGUUCCAGAUCCAUUCAAUGCUCAACGUUGCGCCGUCAAUGGAGGCCAUUGUCGCCGACAAAGUCUCCAACGUGAAUGAUGAAGUCGUUACCUGAUGUUAUUGCUUGUUUUGCUUCUGAUGGGAUGUCUUCAAUCUAGACGGUUUUGGUUAUUGUUCUAAGUUCUAACUUAUUUUAUGUUAGUUAGGGAUAUUAGGCAUCGUCUGGAUAGUUUUCUUUUUGUAAGUUUCCAAAUUAUUAAAAACAAAAUUCAAUUUA